rnacentral:rRNA from 1 species
UUAAAGGAAUUGGCGGAAGGGCACCACCAGGAAUGGGGCCUGCGGCUUAAUUUGACUCAACACGGGAAAACUUACCCGGCCCGGACACAGGAAGGAUUGACAGAUUAAGAGCUCUUUCUUGAUUCUGUGGGUGGUGGUGCAUGGCCGUUCUUAGUUGGUGGAGCGAUUUGUCUGGUUAAUUCCGAUAACGAACGAGACUCUAGCCUACUAAAUAGGCGUUCCGAUCUUAAUUAAAUAGUCGGACGUUUUCUUCUUAGAGGGACAAGCGGCGUUUAGCCGCACGAGACAGA